AGUGAAGCGGCAACAGCUCAAAUUUGAAAUCUGGCCCUUGUGGUCCGAGUUGUAAUUUGUAGAGGAUGCUUUUGGUGAGGUACCUUCCGAGUUCCCUGGAACGGGACGCCAUAGAGGGUGAGAGCCCCGUCUGGUUGGAUACCGAUCCUCUGUAAAGCUCCUUCGACGAGUCGAGUAGUUUGGGAAUGCUGCUCUAAAUGGGAGGUAUAUGUCUUCUAAAGCUAAAUAUUGGCCAGAGACCGAUAGCGCACAAGUAGAGUGAUCGAAAGAUGAAAAGCACUUUGAAAAGAGGGUUAAAUAGUACGUGAAAUUGUUGAAAGGGAAGCGCUUGUGACCAGACUUGGGCUUGGUUAAUCAUCCAGGGUUCUCCCUGGUGCACUUGGCCAGCCCAGGCCAGCAUCAGUUUGUCGCGGGGGAUAAAGGCGUUGGGAAUGUGGCUCCCCCGGGAGUGUUAUAGCCCUUCGUGUAAUACCCUGCUUUAGACUGAGGUUCGCGCAUCUGCAAGGAUGCUGGCGUAAUGGUCAUCAGCGACCCGUCUUGAAACACGGACCAAGGAGUCGUCUUCGUAUGCGAGUGUUCGGGUGUCAAACCCCUACGCGUAAUGAAAGUGAACGCAGGUGAGAGCUUCGGCGCAUCAUCGACCGAUCCUGAUGUUCUCGGAUGGAUUUGAGUAAGAGCAUACGGGGCCGGACCCGAAAGAAGGUGAACUAUGCCUGUGUAGGGUGAAGCCAGAGGAAACUCUGGUGGAGGCUCGCAGCGGUUCUGACGUGCAAAUCGAUCGUCAAACAUGGGCAUGGGGGCGAAAAGACUA
rnacentral:rRNA from 1 species